rnacentral:misc_RNA from 1 species
UGGCUUAAUCUUUGAGACAAGCAUAUGACUACUGGCAGGAUCAACCAGGUAGCAUUCCUCUUUGACGUAGCCCACCAUGCACGGACAAGCCGAGACAUGGUAGACAAUCGUUUUGGAGAAGCGAGAACGCUUAACGAGAGCAAAUUCAGGAUCUUAUAAGACCCAUGCCCACAUUAGGUUCCGUAUACAAGAGACCAAGCGAUGCUUCAUAGGCCACAUUAAUGUUGCAAAUGCAACAACAAGAUGGAUCACAAAGACCGCUUCAAUGUUCAUCCCACGUCACAUGAGCGACGACGCAUGACGAAUAGAGACAUCAUAAAACCCACACGUUACCAUCAACUAGGUAUGCAACACAGGAAACCCACAAUAUGCUUAAGACAUCUAAGCCUUGCCGCAAAACUGAAGAGGUAUGCACGCAUGGACGUUGCUGCGCGAGCAGACAGCCAACCACCCGUAACAAACCAAACACCACUCAUGCACCUUUACGGUCGACAUUCCCGAAAACCGCCCAACUAGUAGCCACCCACCCGGCAAAAAGCCAAGCAAGCAACCAAAAGCCAAAACAGCCCCCAAAAUGCAC